rnacentral:rRNA from 1 species
UACGGAGGGAGCAAGCGUUAUCCGGAAUCACUGGGUUUAAAGGGUGCGUAGGCGGCUUAAUAAGUCAGAGGUGCAAGGCUGUGGCUCAACCAUGGGAUUGCCUUUGAUACUGUUAGGCUUGAAUCAGGCUGAGGUUGGCAGAAUGUGGCAUGUAGCGGUGAAAUGCAUAGAUAUGCCAUAGAAUACCGAUUGCGAAGGCAGCUGACUGGACCUUGAUUGACGCUGAGGCACGACAGCGUGGGGAGCGAACAGG